rnacentral:rRNA from 1 species
GGUGAGGUAACGGCCCACCAAGGCAAUGAUGGGUAGCCGGCCUGAGAGGGUGAACGGCCACAAGGGGACUGAGACACGGCCCUUACUCCUACGGGAGGCAGCAGUGGGGAAUAUUGGACAAUGGACCGCAAGUCUGAUCCAGCAAUUCUGUGUGCACGAUGACGUUUUUCGGAAUGUAAAGUGCUUUCAGUCGGGAAGAAGUCAGUGACGGUACCGACAGAAGAAGCGACGGCUAAAU